GACGAACUGUGCAAACGUUAUUCGGAAUCACUGGGCUUGAAGAGUGCGUAGGCGGUUUCGUAAGUAGGGUGUGAAAGCCCCCCAGCUCAACUGGGGAACUGCGUCCUAAACUGCGAGGCUGGAGUGAGGUAGGGGUGUGCGGAACUUCCGGUGGAGCGGUGAAAUGUGUUGAUAUCGGAAGGAACGCCGGUGGCGAAAGCGGCACACUGGACCUUGUCUGACGCUGAGGCACGAAAGCCAGGGGAGCAAACGGG
rnacentral:rRNA from 1 species